rnacentral:rRNA from 1 species
AGAGUUUGAUCCUGGCUCAGAACGAACGCUGGCGGCAGGCUUAACACAUGCAAGUCGAACGCAUCCUUCGGGGUGAGUGGCAGACGGGUGAGUAACGCGUGGGAACGUGCCCUUCAGUUCGGAAUAACCCAGGGAAACUUGGGCUAAUACCGGAUACGUGCGAGAGCAGAAAGAUUUAUCGCUGAAGGAUCGGCCCGCGUCUGAUUAGCUAGUUGGUGAGGUAAUGGCUCACCAAGGCGACGAUCAGUAGCUGGUCUGAGAGGAUGAUCAGCCACAUUGGGACUGAGACACGGCCCAAACUCCUACGGGAGGCAGCAGUGGGGAAUAUUGGACAAUGGGCGCAAGCCUGAUCCAGCCAUGCCGCGUGAGUGAUGAAGGCCUUAGGGUUGUAAAGCUCUUUCGUCCGGGACGAUAAUGACGGUACCGGAAGAGGAAGCCCCGGCUAACUUCGUGCCAGCAGCCGCGGUAAUACGAAGGGGGCUAGCGUUGUUCGGAAUCACUGGGCGUAAAGGGCGCGUAGGCGGCUUGAUAAGUCGGGGGUGAAAGCCUGUGGCUCAACCACAGAAUUGCCUUCGAUACUGUCUGGCUUGAGACCGGAAGAGGUAAGUGGAACUGCGAGUGUAGAGGUGAAAUUCGUAGAUAUUCGCAAGAACACCAGUGGCGAAGGCGGCUUACUGGUCCGCUGAGCUGAGGCGCGAAAGCGUGGGGAGCAAACAGGAUUAGAUACCCNNGUAGUCC